rnacentral:tRNA from 2 species
ACAGUAUUGGCGGAAUGGUAGACGCGCUACCUUGAGGUGGUAGUAGGUAAAACUGUGGGGGUUCAAGUCCCCUGUACUGUA